rnacentral:rRNA from 1 species
GCACAAUGGGCGAAAGCCUGAUGCAGCAACGCCGCGUGAGGGACGACGGCCUUCGGGUUGUAAACCUCUUUUAGCAGGGAAGAAGCGAAAGUGACGGUACCUGCAGAAAAAGCGCCGGCUAACUACGUGCCAGCAGCCGCGGUAAUACGUAGGGUGCAAGCGUUAAUCGGAAUUACUGGGCGUAAAGCGAGUGUAGGUGGCUCAUUAAGUCACAUGUGAAAUCCCCGGGCUUAACCUGGGAACUGCAUGUGAUACUGGUGGUGCUAGAAUAUGUGAGAGGGAAGUAGAAUUCCAGGUGUAGCGGUGAAAUGCGUAGAGAUCUGGAGGAAUACCGAUGGCGAAGGCAGCUUCCUGGCAUAAUAUUGACACUGAGAUUCGAAAGCGUGGGUAGCAGAGCGUUAUCCGGAAUUAUUGGGCGUAAAGAGCUCGAACAGGAUUAGAUACCCUGGUAGUCC